CGACGCUCCGUACAGGUCGGUCAUACACUCGUUCACGAGUGGCGGAUAUAUCGACCGUAUCGUUGAUAUUGCGUCUUGCUGUAAAAAGAUGAAGAAGAUGAAAAGGAGAAGGAGGAGGUAGAAGAGGAAGAAAAAGAAGAAGAAGACGUCAAAGAGGGGUGGAGAGUGAAAGGAGGAGACAGCCAAGGAGAUAAGACCUUUGAAUAUAGCCGCAAGGUCAGCUUGGAAUUGACCCCAGCAUCCUGCCCGACUGAAUUCGAGUUUAAUGAAUAACUAUUGAAUCCCGCCUCUAUCGCUGCCAAUAAGAGCAACGUGACCGGCCACUGUGGCAGCGAGUCGAACGGAAUGGAAGAAAAUCGAGCGUGCCUCGUUUCUCUAUUUAUCACAUAUUAAGAUAAUCACGCAUAUGCAAUAUGUCAUAACUCGAAAUUUCCAAGAGAAAAGAAAAAGUUACGAAAAAGUCGACGAAGAAGACAAUACUGCGCCCGAAGGGCAGGAUCUUUUUUAAAGCUUCCUCCUGAUCGAGCAGGUGCGUCACGAAGAGCCUCUACCCUUUGAUCCUCUCUCUCUUUCCCUCUUUACCUCUUUCUUAAGGGAAAAAGAGGAUGAUCGAAUUCAUGGAGGGAGAUUCAUCGAGAUGGAAGACAAAGACAGGGAGAUGAAAGAGCAUCGAUGGAAUCCUGCGGGUUCCUUACGGGACGCACGCUACACACGUUCAUACUGCGAGAGGGCUCCAUCGAAGGAGAUGGUGCACCGUAAUGGAGCCAUUAUCGCUGGAUAACUUCAUCAUCGGUCAUUGGCGUAGGCCGUACGCGACGUUGCCCUUCCAUCGAACUCCAUCGUCCGGAGUCUGGAGAAUGAGAGAGAGAAAGAAAGAGAAAGA